rnacentral:lncRNA from 1 species
UAAUAUUUUUAUUGCACAGCGGUGACUGUAUGUACUUUUGAUCUAUUUCGUAAACGCCCGAAACAAUGACGUCAAACACGUUAGAUCAUUUUGGCGGACUAAAUAUUUGUUUGAUCAAGUUGCACACCUGCGCUGUGCUGUGUGUAAUAAUUCCACCGGAUUAUUCGAUCCAUUCCCGGCGAUGAGUUUUUCACCAGCCCAGCAAAAGUACCGUUGCCCGUCGUGUGCGGUAAUCGAUUAGCCUUUUCGUCCGGCGCGUGAUGAUUAUUAACAUAUAGAUAUAAAUUAUUCACAGCCUCUCUUAUAAGACUUAUGCACACCUUUCCCAUCUCUGUGUGCGAGGGCUAAAACAUACGGGCCAAAAUGUCUUGUACGUACGUGUAAUCGUUCAAAAAAGGCCAAGACACAAACACACACAAUCGUCUGUGCUCGCCGAGGGACCUCACGCCGUGACACGCGCUUUUGUGUCUGUCUGUAAUAGACCCCGAAUAAUAUAGUAAGCCCACGCCCUUUUUUCUUUCCUUUUUCUUUUAUGCAUUCAAUAGACAAUUGAUUUGGCUUUGACGAUCUUAUCGAGGCUCUUUUUCUCUCCGGUCUGGGUCCUAAAUGCGCCCGUAGCAUCGGCGGGAUUAUUCAAAUUCUAUCCCAUCGCAUUCCUUUUCGGAGAGCGCGCAUCUCUCCAUCAAAAAAUGCGAUGGACCACCCUCGAAAAAAUGGUGGAAAACUAUAGACAAGUCGCACCAUUACAUCCAUUUUUACAUCAUCUCCAUUUUCGCCAGUCGUUCCUUUUGUUCUGUUUCACAAAAGAAGAAAAAACGUUCGUGAAAAAAAUCAUUCGGUGAAAUUUUCUAUUUUUUAAUCCACAGAAUUAUAUUUCCACGUUGUAAUAAAAAUAAAAAAUAAAUGAUAUGGCGGAUAGUGUGUGUCUUAUUUUCUUUUUCGGGGGGGAAUAACAAAAGUCGUGACUCCCGAAACAAAAAAAAAAAAAUUCUUUCGAGUUGGUUUUGUUGGUUGUUUCUAAAUAGUUACGUAUUAGUAACAUUUUAUGGAGUGUAUUAACAUUUUCUUUUUUUAUUUAUUUAUUUUUUUAUCCUUUUCACGAAAUGCGACAAAACAUUUUGAAAGGUGACCGUGAACCUCGUCUCCACCGGCAGUUCACACAUGUUUUGUAUCACAGCCAGAGUCCAGCAGGGCUCUGCUGCUGCUGGCCCCGGAUGACUUUCAUUCUUCUUUUUUUUUUAUCUUUUCCGUGCCCUCGGGCGGGUAUAACUUGAAAACACUUAAAUCCCGAGAUCCUUUUUUUUUUUACAUAUACGUCCAAACACACACACACACACACACACAGAUGGUUGGCUGUGUCGUGAAUGCUGAUUAUAUAUUUAUUUUGAAAAUAAAAUCUAUCGACGUCAGCGUAAAAUUGUUUGAAGUUUUCUGGCCAGUAAAUAUAUAUUUUCACCCCCCUCCACAGAAAUUUGCAUAAAUUGCGCAAUCCAGAUUUUUAUUGAGCAUUGUUUUUUGGUUUUUUUUUAAACGUUUCGUGACAAAUUUCGCCGUAGUUCCGCGAGCGUGAUUGUAGCCAAGAUGGUCAGCCCCGAUAAUAAUUUAUCUCGAAUUUAAAACGUUUUUCUUUUUUUUUUCAAAAAAAGUCUAAUAACUAACGAGUAUUUAGCCGCUGACCUGACGCUGUAUAUAUAAUUGUUGCAAAGUCGUAAACAUUUUCAUAGGUGGGAAAAAAAAGUAUAUAAAUACAAAUUUUUUUUUUUCUUUUCUUACCUGAUUAGAAAAAAGCCGAUAGCUAAGAAAAAAAAAUUUUGUUACGAUCAAUUUCAUUCUCGAGAGACUCGGUUAUUUUUAGGAACCCCCAGAGCGCGUUCGUUUGAAAAAAAAAAUAGCGCCACCUUCGGGAUUUGAACCUCGGCAAAAGUCAUUGGCACAAACGAUCGUUAUUUUUAGGUUUUUAUCAAAAGCCGAUCGUCGUCGGGACAAAAAUCAUCAUUUGUGUAUUUUCCUCGUCGACCUUGUAAUUUUGUUUUCGCUCGUGUUAUAUAGCCUUGCCAAAGGUGGUAGAAGAGUCAAAUAUUAUUAUAUAGACUCGUCUCGCAUGAAACACAUUUCGGCUGGUUAAUAACAAAAUAGCAAAAAAGAAGAAACAUGUAGAGCCCCCACAAGGUUGGAAUAAUCUUCGCAUUGACCAGUCAACGCACUCGACCACUAAAGGAAAACCUGAAUUAUGUUUUUUUGAACAAACUGCGUCGUUCGUUAUCACCACCAGCGCGCCGUAGAAUGUGUUUGUGCGUAUUUUUUAGUACAGAGAGAGAAAAUAAACCAAAUGAGCUUAAAAAAACCGCCUUUUUUAUUUUUCAAAUAGACUCGGACCGGAAUGAGUCCGGUUGCCUACACACACACACAAACUGGCGCAAUUUAUGACGACGCACAAAAUACGCCGAGUCCUUUUUUUUAUUUAACAAUUUGCAACUUUUGAAAAUGAGUCGGAAAGAAAAUGGUAAUUAUCCGCUUAAGAAAAUGUCCGAAUAUUUUCCGUAUCAUUUUUUAACGAGAUGGACGUUGUCCGGAAUUUAUUCCGACGGCGCCAGUGGAAAUAUCUAGAAGAAGUAGGAGGAGUGAACCUGUUGGGAUAUGAUUAUCAUAUAUGUGUUCUAGACGCAAUAACCUAUAGGCUAUUUCGUUUGUUAUAUAAAAUAAAGAACGAAGAAGAAGAAAAUGGAUUUGCCAUCGCCGCCAAACGUCUUGCGCAGCAUUUUUAUCGGGCAAGAAUAUCGACUCGGUUAAACGCAAUUCGAUGAAAUCCAUUAGCAUUUUUCUUUCGGUUAUUCCCAUUUCAAGUCUAGACAAUUACGUCAAAUUUAUCAGACCAAAUGGAAAAAUUGAAUAAACUCGUUUUUUUUUCGAAUUUCCCGCCGUCAUUCAAAUCAAAUUGAUUUGAACGAUUAAAAUGGAAAUUUCGCGGGAAAAACAAAACAAAAAAAAAAACAAAAUAAAGAUAUCCGGGUUUACUUUUAAUGUCAAAAUGCACUUUAUCAAGUCUUAAUAUUUUGAACAAUAAAUUUAAAAAUAAAACGCGCGAUUUUUGAAAAAAAUUAAGAAAUUUAUGAUAUAUUUUCUUUCCAACACCAAAGAAUUCUUUUUUACCAUUCCAAAUAUGAAGGUAUAUAAUAGCAUACACGUGAAUAUGCUAUAUAUCUGGCGGACUAACGGUGAAUGGCUUGCCCAGCAAGAACACGAUGAUGAUCUUUCUUGUUUCUAGCAUCGCAUACAUACCGAGUGUGCGGCUGAAGAAAAUUCUUAUUUAUUUAUUUUUUCUUAUUUCUCUCUUCUUUUUGUUAGUUUAUUACACAUGACAAAAGCUAUUUUCUGCCCCCUUUGGUCUCUACUGAUUUAUUGUUGCCUUUUCCCCCCUUUGUGUGAUGCCCUUAAGGACUCACGGGAAAGAUUCACGUGUUAAAAAAUAAAGGCAGCAGCCAAAGUCUAAACUCCGGGAACUGCUGGGAUAUUUUUCGUGUGUAGCAAGAGAAUCGGUUGAUGGCCGCCGAAUUCACCUCUGGGGCCCUUUUUUUCUUUUAAACUCUCCGUGGGUAUCUCAUCUUUGUGGCUCAUUCUUCACAGCCAGGCUCGAGACAAACUGUCCGUUUUUCUCCGGGAUAGAAAAAAAAGAAACGCACACACACAUGUGUUAUACCCGGUGCGAUGGAUGGAAGAAAGGCUAUAGGAUAUACCCACCUGAAAAGUGAUUUGCAUUUAGACACUUUAGGGAAUAUCUUUUUUUACGUUCAGAGUCGAGCACUUGUUAGAUUAUCGGCUUUUUUCCUCUUCGGAAUAUCUGAUUUCCUUUGAAACACUCGCGCGGAAUUCAAACUAAUAAAAAAAUGAAGGUUAAAAACAAAAAUUUAAAUUCAAAAUUUUAAAUUCGGCGCCAAAAAAAAAAGGUGAAGAAAUAAAAAUUCAUAUUUUUUUUAAAUUCGCCGCCAAAAAAAAAGAAGAAGGAAGAAGAGAUUUGAAUCACAAUGUUACGUAUUAUCAUCCAUAUAUGUAUGCGUGUGUGUGUGUGUGUAUGUCUUUUUAAAUGUCAGCGAAUGCGUCUGCCGGCGUCAGGUUCUUUUAAGUAUCCGAUUCAUCGCCUUCCAUUUUUUUCUCCACAUCCAGACGCCGAGUUAUGCGCUCGGUGAAAAAUUCCUUGAAAUGUAAUAAUGAGUCAGCUGAUGUGUCUGCUGGGAAGUCAAACACACAAGCCGGAGAAAAUGUUAUAUGUUAGUUAUUACAACCCGGUUUUCAAGGUCGGUCACAUCCAAGUCAAACAGACGCGACUAAUUGGUUAGAAUUGAAUAUUGAUACAAGAUAUUGGUCGAGUCAUUCGUCUGUCUCGACUGCACACACAACAAUUUAUACAGUCAACUUUUAUUUUAUUUGAUUCAUUUUGAUUUAAUUUUUAAAAAAGAAUUUUGAGUAGUUUUAAAAAAAUAUUGAGUUGUUGAAGCAGACUUGUAGACUACUACUACAAGGUGUAAAUAAAUAACAUUUUUACGGAUAUUUUAUUAAAGGUUAAUUGCGUGAUUUUUAUGAAAGUUUCAUUUCUUCCGGGUGUUGCGCAAUUUCCUUUUUCGCUCGGUGUGUGUGACGAAAGCAGCGUCGGUAAUUAUCUCUGCUGUGGUAAAUGUAGCGAUAGUAAAAGUUUUUACCCUUAAUCAAAGAUUCUAUCGAGAUUUUUUAAAGAAUGGAAAUCAACGAGGAUUCUUUUGAUGAGAUAACAAUCACACAGAAAUCGAAUAACAAUUAAGUUUUUAGAACAUUCAUGUGCGACUGGGCAAAAGAUUAAAGUGGCAAAAGUUUAAAGCAGAGUAUUUUUGAAACCUGGAGAUUGAAAUAAUUGAAUAACAAUUAAACCAUAAUAAAAUAGGGAAAAAAAAAAUGAAUGGGAUUCCACUCUGUAGACCAAUACUGGCAUCGCCAGAUCAAUGUUAGCUACAUCUAGAGUUCUGAGCCUACGCUUUUUAGGACUCAAAGAACCGCUGUAUUCAGUUAACCAUGGAUUAAGAAUUAACCGAUUGACUUACAAGUGCAACGUUGAAAGCCAUUUGAAUACCUAGAUGUGGGUCUUAGGAUUUUAAUGCAAUACUUCCAUGCUAACUUUCUUGCACCUCGUUAGUUUCAAUUGAAACCAACGAUAAUCCAUUCCAUUGACGAGUUACUAUCCCAUUUACUUUAAUCAGUUUAACUUGCGUCCGGGUGUGAAAGCAGCCAUGCUCCCCAGGGGAGUCGAACUCAGGUCCCCAAGUGCUCUUGCGAACACUAAGCGACGCCUCAUCCUACUCACCCACCCUUCACUUAUUAAAUAACCGAUUUUUUUUAAUCGUAAUUUUUUGAACAUAUUCCUGCUUAACUUUUUCAUUUUUUUAAAUUUUACGUGCUUUUUGCUCUUCUUUUUACGUCGAAAGAAAACAACAAAUUCAGGUGGCGUUAUGGGCUCUAUUUACUAUUUAGCAGUCGACAAAAAAUGCAGAAACAAAACAUGCCGAAUCCGAAGCCGAAAGUAGUAUAAGCAUGCUUUCAGAGUGAACGAGAUUCUCGAUUCGUUGUACGAGAGAGACUGGUUGUAACGUUUUGAAAAUGGACGACGACGAAAAGCAAGAGAAAAGAGAAUUGAGAAAUUGGAAGAGAAGGAUGAAAUAUCGAACAAGUGGCAAGUUCAAAGGAAACAUACAGACAUUCUGUUCCAGUGAUGAUGAAAAACCUCCUGUAAAGAAGAAGAAAAGAAGUGGAGUGAGUUGGAAAAAGAAUGUGGACCGUACAAUCAAUCCAGAAGAGUUACGUGGUCAAUUCGAAACAUCCAGCUAUUCCAGCAAUUAUUCAGAAGAAGCCGAGAUUCUAUUGGCUGAGAUGGAAAGACAGGAUGACGAGACAAAUGAAAAACACAAAGAAAAU